GUAUAAAAUUAAGUACUAUUAAGUGUUUUAUUCCCUGUGUCGUUUUGGAAGUGAAGCAAACCAAAUAUUUAAUUUUUCAUGUAACGAGCAAUCUUGCAAGCUAUGCAAGCUGCCAAUUCCAAACUGUCACAAAUUGCUCUGUCAAAAAACUAUGACCUUAGCAUUCCAUCAUGCUACUCUGUUGCUCUAUUGAGAGCUUUGUAAAACUUACAACGGAAGACAUACUAACCAGUGGGAAGGUCACCAACAAUAGAACCAACACACCACUGUUUAAUUUGACUAUCCUUUGCCUAGUCAUCAGAAACAGCUUUAAUCUGACUAGUGCAACAUGUCCCUCUUUGUUUGGAUUCCAAUGAUUAACCACUACCAACCAACUUAAAUAGGAAUGGACAUCACAGCCAGUCCUGUUUGGUCUGCCAAGCCUUCUCCUUCAGGAAAAUUACCAGCCCU